GGAACUGGGAGCAAGAGGUGUGCAAGAAGCUGAGAGAGAACUAAGUGACUUGCCUAAGGUCAAGGAUGAGAAAGGUGGCCAGGGAUUAGGGCACUAGCCUAGGAUUUGGGAGACUCAAUUUCAAUUCUGUGCUCUGCUUCAGACUUUCUUUGCAACUUUGGACCAAGGAAGAGAACAGACCUUCAACCCUCAGCUCCUGAGGGCUGAGGGAAGGCAGGAGCUUCCUUGACGACCACUGCCUGAAGGUUCCUCCCAGAAGGCCACGUCACUGGAAGAUGCAGGCCAGUGCAGAGGUGGAGCAACCAGCAGCAGCAGACUCCAGUGGCGAGAGGGCUGCCCAGCCCAGCCACAGGGAGGCACCAGUAGUGAGCUGACCCCUUCACAGGACUAUAUAAGCUAUUUGU